GACGUCAGGGCCCUCGGGCCCCGCCCCCCAGCAGGCCGAGGACCAAUCCGCAGAGGGUGCAGGGUCUGAGGGGAGGGGCAGAGCCCGGGCCCCACGGAGGGCGGAGGGGGUACCCGGGAGAAGCAGAGAUUGGAAGGAGGAGCAGGGGGCCUGCCCUCCACCCCCACACUCUGGGCCCGAGACUCCUCGCUCCUCCUCGCCUCGCCUCGCCUCGAGUCUCUGGCUCCGACCUCUCUACUCCCUUGUUUCUGACCUGUGCUCCGUGGUGUCUCUGAUCUCCCCCUGCCGCCAGGGGAAAGGAGGAACAUCCCUCCCAGGACUCACUCACACCUAUUCUCCAACUCUGCCUACCUGCUCAAUUCACCUGAUGCUCUGCCAGUGGAUUGCUGAUGUCUCUACAUUGAUUCAGAUUUGCACCCACAUCUGAAAAUGGUCAGCAGGCAGGGACCCUCUGUCACCACAGGUGGAGGAAGAGGAGAUGAAAGAGCCUUGUCUGACACCCUGGAGACUGCAAGAAGGCCCUUGCCAGAUGUGGGCCCCUCCAUCUUGGACUUCCCAGCUAGCCUCCAGAACUGGAAACUACCCAGACUGUGUCCUCUCCCUCUUACUCUCCUAAAGGAAGACAAGGAAGACAAUGACAAAUGGCGUUUGCAGCAAAGCAACACCAACAGCCAACUUGAUGCUCAAGAGAGAACGCUAUGCCUCUUCCUCAUGGUUUCCAGUGCUCUACACAUUCUGAGAAACUUUUCUGGUUCUACUUCUGGAGGGAACCCAAACCAACACAUUUGAUAUCCAAAGUUGUCCUAGGAAGUAGACCCCCAGGAUAAGAUUCUGGUUUUGGAUCACUCAUCAUCCAGAUGGCCCAAAGAUUCCAUUGCUGAGUAGAGACGGGUUUUCACCAUGUUGACCAGUCUGGUCUCAAACUCAUGACCUCAAGUGAUCCAUCUGCCUUGGCCUCCCAAAGUGCUGAGAUUACAGGAGUGAGCCAUCACGCCUGGCCUGGGAUUUAACAUUUUAAAGCUUGGCAAGGACACCAGAAGCCUGUUGCAAUAUGCCCCCGGGAUAGAUCUUCAAAGUGUGGAAAAACUAUGAGUUCCAGCAAAUGAGGUAGAGAUGUUGGAACUUCCUUGACAGAAUACUUGGAAGAAUAAAGGCUCAGAAAAGUGGGCAUGCCAGAAUAAAAUGACUAUUAUAUAAGACUAUAGAACCCUCCAGCCUACUGUGUUCUUCAUGAGGGCCCAGAAAUACUCAAUAAAUAAAGUGAUACAAAAGGUGCUAGUUGGAACAGGGCCACUGGCAUUUGCAGGUCAGUGGUAGCUGUCCUCAGCAGGCCAGAGCAAUGGUAGCGGGAGCUGCUAUGGGACUAGCCUUUCUAGAGUCAGUGGGUAUAACAGGAGUCCAGAACGAGGUCAGGCGACAGCACGUGGUCAUGAGAGGCUAAGUGGACAUAAUUACCGUAAUAGGCAGAAAGACCAGAAAUGUAAGCAGGGAUCUAUUGUGAUGACCAAGAGACCAUGGUGUUCCCAGAUAGGAGGAUGGUGAAGGAGGGUAUCUCUUGCUUAUAAAAACAAGCAAGAAUGAGACAGCAGAAGGCUGAAGUUAGCCACUGCAAAGGAAAAUCCCCAUCCCAUACCCAGUUUCCAGGCCCAAACCAGUUUUCAGAUAUAGAGCCCUUUGUCUUUUUUUUUUUUU
rnacentral:lncRNA from 1 species